CCAUGGUUAACUCAGUUGGUAGAGCAGUCCACUUGUAAUGGAGAGGUCGCGGGUUCGAUACCCGGACCAGGCG
rnacentral:tRNA from 1 species